rnacentral:rRNA from 1 species
GUAGGUGGCAAGCGUUGUCCGGAAUUAUUGGGCGUAAAGCGCGCGCAGGCGGUUCUUUAAGUCUGAUGUGAAAGCCCACGGCUCAACCGUGGAGGGUCAUUGGAAACUGGAGAACUUGAGUACAGAAGAGGAAGGCGGAAUUCCACGUGUAGCGGUGAAAUGCGUAGAGAUGUGGAGGAACACCAGUGGCGAAGGCGGCUUUCUGGUCUGUAACUGACGCUGAGGCGCGAAAGCGUGGGGAGCAAACAGGAUUAGAUACCCUGGUAGCCCACGCCGUAAACGAUGAGUGCUAAGUGUUAGGGGGUUUCCGCCCCCCUUAGUGCUGCAGCUAACGCAUUAAGCACUCCGCCUGGGAGUACGGCCGCGAGGCUG